GUAUUAAAUAAUAGCGUAUUUCUUGAUUUUUCUAGUUUGGUUUUCUUUUCCGUUGUUGAUUCCGGCCUCCUACCGUGAGCCUCCCCCUAGAUUGCACCAAAAGGCAUUACAAUUGUCGGGUACAACAUACCAUAACAUCAUACAAAAUAUAUCAACAGUAGUAUAGUACUUGAACGAGUCCAGCGCACCCCCUAAAAAAAAUUUGACCCCUAAAAAAAUACCCACAUUUCAAGUAAAAAAGCCCUAAAUUUUCAUAAAAAAAGCAAAAACACCCAAAAAACAUCAACAUUCUUUU
rnacentral:lncRNA from 1 species